AUUUCCACCAGACUUCAAAUUCACAAGAGGAUUUCCAUCGGACUUCAAAUUCACCAAAGGAAGGAGGAGUGCAGCACAUGUUGAAGUGCAUGGGUAUACAAACCAUGCUGGAACUCAGAGUAGUGCUGACAAUUCUCAAGGGGUUUCUGAUUCAGAGUCUCUAAUACCUGGUUUAAGCAAAGACCAAUAUUCCCAGCUUAUGUUGCUGCUUCAGCAGACACAGCUUGCAGAGUCUAAGCAGCAGUCCAGCCUUAUGGCCUCAGCCAACUUUGCUGGUAAUUUUUCUCCAACCACUCAUUUAAAGAAUGUUUCCUAUGGGGCUUGCAUGCUAACCAAAGUAAGUGAUUGCAUCUGGAUUAUAGACUCUGGUGCCACUGAAGCUUGCAUGCUAACCAAAGUAAGUGAUUGCAUCUGGAUUAUAGACUCUGGUGCCAUUGACCACAUGACAUCUAAUAAAGAACUUCUAUUUGACAUUAAGCCUCUAGUAAUACCAUACCUAGUUACCUUGCCCAAUGGUUAUAAGGUUAAGGUAACAUGCACUGGCUCAAUCCAAUUCCUUUGUUUCACUCUUCAUCAUGUCCUUUACAUUCCUAGUUUUCACUACAAUCUCAUUUUUGUGUCCAAACUUGUAUGCCAGUUGAAUUCUAUUGUCCUAUUUACCAAAUUCUCUUGUUUAAUACAGGCCCCUUCUCUGAAGAGGCCACUGGAGAUUGGUAAAUUGGAUNNNNNNNNNNNNNNNNNNNNNNNNNNNNNNNNNNNNNNNNNNNNNNNACCUCUAAAGAGGCCACUGGAGAUUGGUAAAUUGGAUGAUGGUCUUUACAGGCUUGUACAAUCUUCUUUUUUUAAAUCUCUUGAUCCUUGUAAAUACCAUGCUCCAUGACCUGUUGAUUCUGUUUCUUCUUCUCAUUGUACAUACCAUUCUGAAUUGAAUAAAAUGGAGAUAAUACCAUGCUCCAUUACCUGUUGAUUCUGUUUCUUCUUCUCAUUGUACAUACCAUUUUGAAUUGAAUAAAAUGGAGAUGUUAUGGCAUAAUAGACUAGGGCAUAUACCUUUUGUUAGGAUGAAAGACAUGCCUUCUGUACCAUGUAAAUUUUCCACAAAGCAGCCUUUUCUCUGUACUAUAUGUCCUUUGGCCAGGCAAUCUAGACUACCCUUUCCUGACAGUUCAAUUAAAACAACACAUGCUUUUCAACUAAUCCAUGUUGAUACAUGGGGUCCCUGUGCCACUUCUGCUCAUAGUGGUUGUAGAUAUAUUUUAACAAUAGUUGAUGAUUUUACCAGAGCUAGUUGGACCCACCUUAUGGGGUCCAAGAGUAAUACCUUUUUCCCUCGUUAAAGCCUCAUUGCCAUGGUUACAACUCAAUUCCAGUCUGUGGUACAAACCAUUAGAAGUGAUAAUGCAUUUGAACUUGGUUCUAGUGGUUGUGGCAGCAACUUCUUUGCUGAACAUGGCAUAAUACAUCAAACUUCUUGCUCUCACACACCACAACAAAAUGGUGUUGUUGA
rnacentral:lncRNA from 1 species